GCCUGGAAAUUUUAGUUGCUGCUGGUGUUCUGCAGGGGAAGAAAUGUACUGGAUACCCAGGGAUUAAGGCUCGUG